rnacentral:rRNA from 1 species
GUUCUGACCCGCACGAAUGGAGUAAUCAUGUGGGCACUGUCUCAACGAAGGACUCGGUGAAAGUGCAUUGGCGGUAAAGAUGCCGUCUGUCCGCACCAGGACGGAAAGACCCCGUGGAGCUUUACUACAGCUUUACAUUGGGUCGGGUUGCAACAUGUGUAGCAUAGGUGGGAGACUUUGAAGCCGAUGCGCUAGCAUCGGUGGAGUCGUCGGUGAAAUACCACCCUUGUUGCGAUCUGAUUCUUACUUUGCCCGUUAUCCGGGCAGGGAACAGUGUAUGGUGGGUAGUUUAACUGGGGCGGUUGCCUCCCAAAAAGUAGCGGAGGCGUUCAAAGGUUGGCUAGCUUCGGAUGGAAAUCGAAGUGAUAGUGUAUACGCAAAAGCCAGCUUGACUGUGAGGGCUACAACCCGAGCAGACACGAAAGUGGGAGUAAGUGAUCCGCUGUUCGUACAUUUUGUACAUGAAUGUGGGAUCGACAGCGCAAACGGAUAAAAGUUACCCCGGGGAUAACAGGCUUAUAGCGCCCAAUAGUUCACAUAGACGGCGCUGUUUGGCACCUCGAUGUCGGCUCAUCACAUCCUGGGGCUGGAACAAGUCCCAAGGGUUCGGCUGUUCGCCGAUUAAAGUGGUACGCGAGCUGGGUUUAGAACGUCGUGAGACAGUUCGGAUCAUAUCCGGUGUGGACGCCUAGGAAAUUUGAGAGGAUUUACUCCUAGUACGAAAGGACCGGGGUGAACGCACCUCUGGUGUAUCGGUUGUCGUACCAACGGCAUUGCCGAGUAGCUACGUGCGGAACAGAUAAGCGCUGAAAGCAUAUUAAGCGCGAAGCUGACCUCAAGAUAAGAUUUCCCCAUGAGGACCCUGAUAGACGAUCAGGUUGAUAGGCGCAAGGUGGAAGUGCAGCAAUGUAUGGAGCCGAAGCGUACUAAUAGUCCCAUUGCCCUUUUAUG